rnacentral:rRNA from 2 species
UAGGGAAUCUUCGGCAAUGGACGAAAGUCUGACCGAGCAACGCCGCGUGAGUGAAGAAGGUUUUCGGAUCGUAAAACUCUGUUGUUAGAGAAGAACAAGGACGUUAGUAACUGAACGUCCCCUGACGGCAUCUAACCAGAAAGCCACGGCUAACUACGUGCCAGCAGCCGCGGUAAUACGUAGGUGGCAAGCGUUGUCCGGAUUUAUUGGGCGUAAAGCGAGCGCAGGCGGUUUCUUAAGUCUGAUGUGAAAGCCCCCGGCUCAACCGGGGAGGGUCAUUGGAAACUGGGAGACUUGAGUGCAGAAGAGGAGAGUGGAAUUCCAUGUGUAGCGGUGAAAUGCGUAGAUAUAUGGAGGAACACCAGUGGCGAAGGCGGCUCUCUGGUCUGUAACUGACGCUGAGGCUCGAAAGCGUGGGGAGCAAACAGG